rnacentral:rRNA from 1 species
CCCAAGAGAUCGGGAUAACACCUGGAAACAGAUGCUAAUACCGGAUAACAACAGAUGAUGCCUAUCAACUGUUUAAAAGAUGGUUCUGCUAUCACUCUUGGAUGGACCUGCGGUGCAUUAGCUAGUUGGUAGGGUAACGGCCUACCAAGGCGAUGAUGCAUAGCCGAGUUGAGAGACUGAUCGGCCACAUUGGGACUGAGACACGGCCCAAACUCCUACGGGAGGCAGCAGGU